UUUUCCGGCCAUAUUAUUAAA
rnacentral:piRNA from 1 species